rnacentral:rRNA from 2 species
UAAUACAGGGGGGGCAAGCGUUGUUCGGAAUUACUGGGCGUAAAGGGUUCGUAGGUGGCCAACUAAGUCAGAUGUGAAAUCCCUCAGCUUAACUGGGGAACUGCUUCUGAUACUGGUUGGCUUGAGUGCAGGAGAGGAAUGCGGAAUUCCAGGUGUAGCGGUGAAAUGCGUAGAUAUCUGGAGGAACACCGGUGGCGAAGGCGGCAUUCUGGACUGUAACUGACACUGAGGAACGAAAGCCAGGGGAGCAAACGGG